CCUACGGCGGGCAGCAGUGGGGAAUAUUGCACAAUGGGCGCAAGCCUGAUGCAGCCAUGCCGCGUGUGUGAAGAAGGCCUUCGGGUUGUAAAGCACUUUCAGCGGGGAGGAAGGCGGUGAGGUUAAUAACCUCAUCGAUUGACGUUACCCGCAGAAGAAGCACCGGCUAACUCCGUGCCAGCAGCCGCGGUAAUACGGAGGGUGCAAGCGUUAAUCGGAAUUACUGGGCGUAAAGCGCACGCAGGCGGUCUGUCAAGUCGGAUGUGAAAUCCCCGGGCUCAACCUGGGAACUGCAUUCGAAACUGGCAGGCUAGAAUCUUGUAGAGGGGGGUAGAAUUCCAGGUGUAGCGGUGAAAUGCGUAGAGAUCUGGAGGAAUACCGGUGGCGAAGGCGGCCCCCUGGACAAAGACUGACGCUCAGGUGCGAAAGCGUGGGGAGCAAACAGGAUUAGAUACCCUUGUAGUC
rnacentral:rRNA from 1 species